rnacentral:lncRNA from 1 species
AGGAUGCUUAGCUAGGGGUAACAUUUCAGUAUGAGUGUAUACUGAGGUCAUGGGAGGAAAGUGUUGGGAGUUAAAGCUGGAAAGGAAGCAGCGAGAGUCAUCGUUAAGAUCCCUCAUAUCAGCUGGAGGCCUUCUGUAGCAUUCCUGAAGCCUCUGAGGUUGAACCUAGGAUGCAGAUCCAUCUGGAUACUUGAGACCAGACAGUGUGUUUCUCCAGAGAAUUCAAACUAUCUCCCCAUCAAUCUUAGACAAGAAAACUAUCUAAAAGCAGAUCUUUGUUUCAAAUGGCUGAG